rnacentral:rRNA from 1 species
AUUGAACGCUGGCGGCAGGCUUAACACAUGCAAGUCGAGCGAGCGGCGGACGGGUGAGUAAUGUCUGGGAAACUGCCUGAUGGAGGGGGAUAACUACUGGAAACGGUAGCUAAUACCGCAUACCAUCAGAUGUGCCCAGAUGGGAUUAGCUAGUAGGUGGGGUAAUGGCUCACCUAGGCGACGAUCCCUAGCUGGUCUGAGAGGAUGACAGGCAACACGGGAACUGAGAACGGGUCCAACCUCCUAGGGGAGGCAGAAGGGGGGAAUAUUGAACAAGGGGCGAAAGCCUGAUGCAGCCAUGCCGGGUGUGUGAAGAGGGCCUUCGGGUGGUAAAGCACUUUCAGCGAGGAGGCGUUACUCGCAGAAGAAGCACCGGCUAACUCCGUGCCAGCAGCCGCGGUAAUU